AUUGAACGCUGGCGGCAUGCCUUACACAUGCAAGUCGAACGGUAACGGGCCUUCGGGUGCCGACGAGUGGCGAACGGGUGAGUAAUACAUCGGAACGUGCCCGAUCGUGGGGGAUAACGAGGCGAAAGCUUUGCUAAUACCGCAUACGAUCUACGGUUGAAAGCAGGGGACCGCAAGGCCUUGCGCGGGCGGAGCGGCCGAUGGCAGAUUAGGUAGUUGGUGGGAUAAAAGCUUACCAAGCCGACGAUCUGUAGCUGGUCUGAGAGGAUGAUCAGCCACACUGGGACGGAGACACGGCCCAGACUCCUACGGGAGGCAGCAGUGGGGAAUUUUGGACAAUGGGCGCAAGCCUGAUCCAGCCAUGCCGCGUGCAGGAUGAAGGCCUUCGGGUUGUAAACUGCUUUUGUACGGAACGAAAAGCCUUCUUUUAAUACAGGAGGGUCAUGACGGUACCGUAAGAAUAAGCACCGGCUAACUACGUG
rnacentral:rRNA from 1 species